GCGCUGGUGGUGUAAUGGCGUAGGAUUCUGCCAGGUAAGCAGACUACGUGGGUUCAAGUCUCGCCUGGCGCA
rnacentral:tRNA from 1 species